GGACUGGAAAUGUUUGACAAACAUCGCCAAUGACAACCACAAGAAUCCUUCUUUCCGCUUUGUUUAUUUUUAACAGAGGCAUGAGGCACUGAGAUGUGAUGCUAGCAGCCUUCAAAUAUCAUCUCAGAGUGACAGUCUGCAGGGACACAGGGCACCAACAAUCAGGAGGAGGUCUAAAGAAGAGCAACACAAUUUUAAGAGACUGAUAAAAAAACACAUGUUUUUAGAGUUAAGAAAUUCUAAUCCACAUCUCCUUAUAGGAGUGAAACAGGGAUCAACUUCACUUCGGAACAACACAAAACUAAACUGACCUGGAAAUUUCUACUUUUUCGGUUUCUAAGAGUAACUCUGCAAAUAAGAGAAGAACUAGCAAGGCCAAUGCAGAUUUGUUGACACUAAGGAAUUUGCUCCAGUCAUUUAGAGCCAGAAGGAGUGAUUUGCAUGAUAUCAAUUUGUACUGAUUUCUUCAUCCACACUUGGAAAUACUCCAAGGAAGAAAUUUACCUUCCUAAAUGCCAAUUACUACCUCUACUCUAUAAUAUCAGCCCACCCCAUGCCCACUCCAUUUCCCAAAAUGGACAAUUACAUUCUUUUGAAAAAUCAACUUUAUUGAGGUAUAAUCUAUAUAUAGUAAACUGUACCUAUUUAAAGUGUA